UACGUAGGGGGCGAGCGUUGUCCGGAAUUAUUGGGCGUAAAGAGCGUGUAGGCGGUUCGGUAAGUCUGCUGUGAAAUCCUGGGGCUCAACCCCGGGCGUGCAGCGGAUACUGCCGGGCUAGAGGGUGGUAGAGGCGAGUGGAAUUCCGAGUGUAGCGGUGAAAUUCGUAGAUAUUGGGAAGAACACCGAUGGCGAAGGCAGCCAUCUGGACCGACACUGACGCUGAGGCGCGAAAGCGUGGGGAGCAAACAGG
rnacentral:rRNA from 1 species